UGGGGAAUAUUGCACAAUGGGCGCAAGCCUGAUGCAGCCAUGCCGCGUGUGUGAAGAAGGCCUUCGGGUUGUAAAGCACUUUCAGCGGGGAGGAAGGCGGUGAGGUUAAUAACCUCAUCGAUUGACGUUACCCGCAGAAGAAGCACUGGCUAACUCCGUGCCAGCAGCCGCGGUAAUACGGAGGGUGCAAGCGUUAAUCGGAAUUACUGGGCGUAAAGCGCACGCAGGCGGUCUGUCAAGUCGGAUGUGAAAUCCCCGGGCUCAACCUGGGAACUGCAUUCGAAACUGGCAGGCUAGAGUCUUGUAGAGGGGGGUAGAAUUCCAGGUGUAGCGGUGAAAUGCGUAGAGAUCUGGAGGAAUACCGGUGGCGAAGGCGGCCCCCUGGACAAAGACUGACGCUCAGGUGCGAAAGCGUGGGGAGCAAACAGG
rnacentral:rRNA from 1 species